CAUCCAUUUAGAAACACACACUUUUAGGUCAUCUGUACCACUCAAAUCCAUCAUCAUGAGUUACGGUGGUCACUCCUCUGCUGGAUCACACCAUGGAAGCUGCCAUGUUGGUAGUCAUCUGUCUAAGAUCCCAAGCCACACAUAUGGUCUUUCUCAUGGAGGAUCUUCAAUUAGCCAUCAUAGAGGAUCCCUCUCUUCUCAUCACAAUGGGGGAUCUCAUGCUUCUCAUCAUGGAGGAUCCCACUCUUCUCAUCACCUCGGGGGUUCUAAUGCUUCUAAUCAUGGAGGAUCCUACUCUUCUCACCACCAUGGGGGAUCUCAUGCUUCUCAUCAUGGAGGAUGUCAUAAUUUACAUCAUGGAGGUUCCCAUACUUCCCACCAUGGAGGCUCCCACAGAUCUACAGGUUCUCAUAGUUCUCAUCAUAGAGGAUCCCAUGCCACCCACCAUGAAAGUUCCCAUAAAGUCCAUCAUAGUAAUCACUAUAGAGCCCCCAGUGUACAUGGAGGAUCAGGAGGCAAAGGGAUCUCCAUAUCCAAGCACGUUCAUGGAGGUGCUCAUAGCAGCAGCCAUAAAAGCCAUCAUGGUUUGUUCAAUGUCAAUGGGAAGGAAACCAUGCAGCAUUUAAAUGAUCGUUUGGCUUCCUACUUGGACAAAGUCCACUCCCUAGAGCAACAGAAUGCCCAGCUUGAAAGGAAUAUCCGGGAGUGGUAUGAGAGGAAUCAACCCAGCACUUUACCUGACUACAGCUGCUUCUUCAGAAUCAUUCAAGAGCUUCAAGGCCAGAUUUCCUCAACUUCUGUGGAAAAUGCCAGGAUUGUAUUACAAAUAGACAACGCUCGUCUAGCAGCAGAUGACUUCAGAAACAAGUAUGAAAUGGAACGCCAGCUGGCAAGCAGUGUUGAGGCUGAUGUGAAUGGACUUCGUAUACUCCUGGAAGAACUUAAGAGGGACAUAUGUCAGCUACAGGCACAAGUAGAAAACCUUCAGGAAGAACUGCAGCUAAUGAAGAGGAACCAUGGGGAGGAAGUCAACGCUUUGCAAGCUCAGUUGGGUGCCAGGGUCAAUGUGGAAAUGGAUGCUGCUCCAUCGGCUGAUCUGAAUAGAACCUUGUUUGAGAUCAGAGAGCAGUAUGAGAAUCUGAUGGAGCGGAAUCUGAGAGAGGUGGAAACUAUUUUCAGACAACGGACUGAGGAACUGAAUCGUGAAGUUGCUUCUGGUUCUGAACAACUCCAGUCUGUACAAACUGAAGUCAUUGACUUGAGACGUACCAUCCAAACCUUGGAGAUCGAACUGCAAAGCCAGCUCAGCUUGAAAUCAGCUCUAGAAAACACCUUGGCAGAAACAGAAGCCACAUUUGGGGCUCAACUUGCCCAAUUACAAUGUUUGAUCAACAAUUUAGAGUCCCAGCUAACCCAAAUCCGAUCUGACCUGGAACGUCAGAAUCAGGAAUACACGAUCCUGAUGGACCAAAAGACUCACCUGGAGAUGGAGAUCGCCACCUAUAAGCGCCUAUUGGAGGGUCAUGAUAUCCACACUUCAAGUCAAAGUUUUCUAGGAGACAGCCAUGGAUCUCACCACACAGUGAAAGUUCACCAUGUGACUAGCCCCAGUCAUCAUCAACAUCAUCAAAGUCAUCAUCAACAUCAUAAUCACCAUAAUGUUUGCUAAUGUGUUUCUGACUCUUCUGGAGAACCCUGUGGAUAAUAGUAUUAUCCUAUCUCUAGAAAGUAUUUUGGUAUCUUCCUCUUUCUUCUUCUUAUGCGGCCUUCGGAAUCUGCUUCACCUAGGCAAAACUUGGCAUGAGACAUGAACUAGAUCCACCAAGAUAUCCAGUAGACACAACUGAAAUAAUGCAAGGUUUAAGAUUAGUUAGAUACAGUAUCUGUUCAUCUUUAGAGGUUGGUGGUAAACUAUUCAAGUUUACCUAAAUUGUAAGUUAAUUUCAAGAUGUUAACCCACGUGUUACAAAAGAAGAUGUUUCCAUGUACCCAACAUUAUUUAGGGUACAUGUAUGCUACAGUAUGCUAGAGCAUAAGAUACGUUUAGGGCUGCAGGCAUAUUCAUCUUGUUCCAAUAAUGUCCUUAUAAUACACAGAUUUUGUACCAACAUGUAGUGCAAUGUGUUGCAGUGCCAUUUAUUGUGCAACAGCAUUGAAUGCCAUUCAAAUGUAUAGUACAAUUUGGGUUACGUUGUAGUGCUUUGGAGAAAACAAUAGAGCGCAAGCAUAUUUACCUGAUACCCAUUCAGAACAAAUAACCCAUGGUACCACAAUGCCCUAAAAGUAAGUUGUGGUGAAUGUGUUACUGUAACACUCUCAAGCGUAAACAGGCCGUUAUGGUACAUACAGAUGCAAUGCAGUUUGCUUCACUCAGAAGAAGUGAGUUGUUCCAUAAUCAGUCAUUUUGAAUUACAAUGAUCAUAUGCAAAAUGAGUUAUAAUAUGAACCAGUCUGAUCAGUAUAAAAAAGGAUAUGAAUUUUUGCUGAGUUCUCCUUUGCAAUGUAGUUUCCGAUUAAAAAAAACAAAAAUCAGCAUCUUUAAAUGUGCCUAUAGUACAUGAAUGCACAUAUAAAACACAUUCUUAAUUCAAGUUGAACUCUAGUUUUCUGUUGUGAAUUUAAGGGAUUUUAUUAACAUAAUCCUGUGCAGGUUUUAGUAUAGAGUUGAAGUAUCGGUUUUAUAAUAAUAUGUUAUGAACCUAUUUGUACUGUCUACCAUUGUACAUAUUAAUGGAUUAUUAGCAUGCAAUAUUCAUAUUUUAUUGUGGUUGACAUACUAAGCCCUAGAUUCUGGUUAUUUAGAAUGUUUUAGGAUUUUUUGGACUAUAUAUAUUCUGGUGUACUACUGCAGUAAUCUGGUGAAUUUUGAUCAUCAUUCUCUUGUCCUUGUCACCUACAAAAUGUUCAAUAAAACAAAUCCUAUCUUCAUGCAA